UCCUAAGUCCAGUGUAAGAGGCAGGUC
rnacentral:piRNA from 1 species